AUUAUAUUACCUCCAUCCCAAAUUAGUUGUCUUAGAUUUGUCUAGAUACAGACGUAUCUAACACUAAAACGCGUCUAGAUACGUCCAUAUCUAGACAAAUCUAAGACAACUAAUUCGGGACGGAGGGAGUACUAC
rnacentral:pre_miRNA from 1 species